rnacentral:rRNA from 1 species
CCUACGGGAGGCAGCAGUGAGGAAUAUUGGUCAAUGGGCGCGAGCCUGAACCAGCCAAGUCGCGUGAGGGAAGACGGUCCUAUGGAUUGUAAACCUCUUUUGUCGGGGAGCAAAAGACGCCACGUGUGGCGUUCCGUGAGUACCCGAAGAAAAAGCAUCGGCGAACUCCGUGCCACCAGCCGCGGUAUUACGGAGGAUGCGAGCGUGAUCCGGUUUUUUUGGGUUUAAAGGGUGCGCAGGCGGAAGAUAAAGUCUGCGGUAAAAUUGAGAGGCUCAGACUCUUAGAGCCGUUGAAACUGGUUUUCUUGAGUGAGCGAGAAGUAUGCGGAAUGCGUGGUGUAGCGGUGAAAUGCAUAGAUAGCACGAAGAACUCCGAUUGCGAAGGCAGCAUACCGGCGCUCAACUGACGCUCAUGCACGAAAGUGUGGGUAUCGAACAGGAUUAGAUACCCGGGUAGUC